GACGAACGCUGGCGGCGUGCCUAAUACAUGCAAGUAGAACGCUGAAGAGAGGAGCUUGCUCUUCUUGGAUGAGUUGCGAACGGGUGAGUAACGCGUAGGUAACCUGCCUGGUAGCGGGGGAUAACUAUUGGAAACGAUAGCUAAUACCGCAUAAAAUUGAUUAUUGCAUGAUAAUUAAUUGAAAGAUGCAAUUGCAUCACUACCAGAUGGACCUGCGUUGUAUUAGCUAGUUGGUGAGGUAACGGCUCACCAAGGCGACGAUACAUAGCCGACCUGAGAGGGUGAUCGGCCACACUGGGACUGAGACACGGCCCAGACUCCUACGGGAGGCAGCAGUAGGGAAUCUUCGGCAAUGGGGGGAACCCUGACCGAGCAACGCCGCGUGAGUGAAGAAGGUUUUCGGAUCGUAAAGCUCUGUUGUAAGAGAAGAACGGGUGUGAGAGUGGAAAGUUCACACNG
rnacentral:rRNA from 1 species